rnacentral:rRNA from 1 species
UACAGAGACUGCAAGCGUUAUUCGGAUUCACUGGGCGUAAAGGGUGCGCAGGCGGUCGGGUGUGUCAGAUGUGAAAUCCCGAGGCUCAACCUCGGAACUGCGUCUGAAACUACUCGACUAGAGUACUGGAGAGGGUAACGGAAUUCACGGUGUAGCAGUGAAAUGCGUAGAUAUCUGGAGGAACACCGGUGGCGAAGGCGGCAUCCUGGACCGACACUGACACUGAGGAGCGAAAGCCAGGGGAGCAAACGGG